rnacentral:rRNA from 1 species
GUAUAAGCAACUAUACUGUGAAACUGCGAAUGGCUCGAUGGGCCGUUCCAGAGAAGAAGCAGAGGUCACUCUGUAACAUUGCUAUGAUGGGGAGAUAAUCCUCAGCCACCCUUAGGGGUCGGUCCAACGACUAGAUAGUGAUGGUCCCCCCCGGGGGAUUAAGAUAUAGUCUCAACUACAGGCGCGAGUUUGUAGAUCAAUUGCAUUAUAUCAGUUAUCGUUUAUUUGAUAGUACCUACCUACUUGGAUAACCGUGGUAAUUCUAGAGCUAAUACAUGCUAAAAGCCUCGACUUCGGAAGGGGUGUAUUUAUUAGAUAAAAAACCAAUGCCCUUCGGGGCUCCUUGGUGAUUCAUAAUAACUAAACGAAUCGCAUGGCCUUGUGCCGGCGAUGGUUCAUUCAAAUUUCUGCCCUAUCAACUUUCGAUGUUAGUGUAGUGGACUAACAUGGUUUCAACGGGUAACGGGGAAUUAGGGUUCUAUUCCGGAGAGGGAGCCUGAGAGACGGCUACCACAUCCAAGGAAGGCAGCAGGCGCGCAAAUUACCCAAUAGCGACACGCUGAGGUAGUGACAAUAAAUACUGAUACAGGGCUCUUUUGGGUCUUGUAAUUGGAAUGAGUACAGUUUAAAUCCCUUGAAUUCGUUAGGGGAUCAUAGAGAUGUCAGCCCUACGGCUGGCAACACCUAUCUCUUUCGGGAAUUUCGCAAGGAAAAUCCGAAGCCCCCCGGGGUUAAGAGACUAGAUAUAGGUGGGCACCUACCCGGUGCUUGAGGUAUAGCCCAAUCUAUAGCGAGACGCUAUGGUAUACAUGUAACGAGGAACAAUUUGGAGGGCAAGUCUGGUGGACUUCGGUCUCAGCUAAGCAAGCCUACGGGCAAGCUGCUGACGCCAGGAACAAGUUAACCGCGGAGCCAUCUGCGGUUGAUUUAGUGAGAUUGAUCUUACUAGGUAUCCGGUACGGGGAAGAGCUCACCGUAGCUUAAUCUCGUGGCACCACUAAUUAGUGAUGUCUAAACGCGCGGAAGGAUACCGGUAGCCUGUGGCUACUUGAGGGACGUGCUAAUCUUACCCCGCGAGGCGUGAGAAUUGAUGGCCAGCAGCCGCGGUAAUUCCAGCUCCAAUAGCGUAUAUUAAAGUUGUUGCAGUUAAAAAGCUCGUAGUUGAACCUUGGGCCUGGCUGGUCGGUCCGCCUCACCGCGUGCACUGAUCCGGCCGGGCCUUUCCUUCUGGGGAAUCGCAUGCCCUUCAUUGGGUGUGUUGAGGAUCCAGGACUUUUACUUUGAAAAAAUUAGAGUGUUCAAAGCAGGCCUAUGCUCGAAUACAUUAGCAUGGAAUAAUAGAAUAGGACGUGUGGUUCUAUUUUGUUGGUUUCUAGGACCGCCGUAAUGAUUAAUAGGGAUAGUCGGGGGUGUCAGUAUUCAAUUGUCAGAGGUGAAAUUCUUGGAUUUAUUGAAGACUAACUACUGCGAAAGCAUUCACCAAGGAUGUUUUCAUUAAUCAGUGAACGAAAGUUAGGGGAUCGAAGACGAUUUUUAGUACUGAUCUGGUCGUCUACAGAGCAAUCUAGUCUAUCAUUUGGUAGGCAACACCACUAGACUGAGGGGCCGCUUGCGUAGCAAGCUAACCCGCAGCCUGGCCUGUUCCACCUGGAACAGGCCCAGUCCACAGACUGAAUAGUGGUGGGCCACAGCACCUUCUAGGUGCUGGGGCUUCUAAUACAGCCGGUCCGGCAGCGAUAAGCUGCUGGAGCACACGCAGAUACCGUCGUAGUCUUAACCAUAAACUAUGCCGACUAGGGAUCGGGCGAUGUUAUUUUUUGACUCGCUCGGCACCUUACGAGAAAUCAAAGUCUUUGGGUUCUGGGGGAG